UACGGAGGAUGCAAGCGUUAUCCGGAAUGAUUGGGCGUAAAGCGUCCGCAGGUGGCAAUGUAAGUCUGCUGUCAAAGCGUCUGGCUCACCCAGAUAAAGGCAGUGGAAACUACAUAGCUAGAGUAAGGUAGGGGUAGAGGGAAUUCCUGGUGUAGCGGUGAAAUGCGUAGAGAUCAGGAAGAACACCGGUGGCGAAAGCGCUCUGCUGGACCUUAACUGACACUGAGGGACGAAAGCUAGGGGAGCGAAUGGG
rnacentral:rRNA from 1 species